rnacentral:rRNA from 1 species
UACGUAGGGAGCAAGCGUUGUCCGGAAUCAUUGGGCGUAAAGCGCGCGUAGGUGGCCUCAUAAGUCCGCUGUGAAAGUCAAAGGCUCAACCUUUGAAAGCCGGUGGAUACUGUGAGGCUAGAGUACGGAAGAGGCGAGUGGAAUUCCUGGUGUAGCGGUGGAAUGCGCAGAUAUCAGGAGGAACACCAAUAGCGAAGGCAGCUCGCUGGGACGUUACUGACACUGAGGCACGAAAGCUGGGGGAGCAAACAGG